rnacentral:misc_RNA from 1 species
AUUUUUUCUUGUUUUGGAUGAUUGAAAGGAAUACUAAUGUGUUGGUGCAAAAUUCAUUUCAGAAAUGCUAUUAUUUCCUUGGACAAUCUCUUUGAAUCAUGUGAAGUUUUGAUAUUUGUCUUAAAAUAUUUUGGUUAUGUGCUGUGGAUGGAAAUUGAGGUAGUCCUGAUGGAUUUAUGCUGUUUAUGUAUUAGUCAACAGUAAACACAGUUUGAAUGUAAAUGUUUAAUCGGGUUUUUGAAUUGAAAUAUGUUGCUAG